GUGCCUCAAGUUUUUGACAUUUUAUUUGCUGUCAUCAGUGAUGAACGUUACUACAGUUCUUUCGUUUAUUUGCUUGUGGCGCUCGCUUUUAAAAUCACGGGUGUUAUUUUUUUAUGCCACAGAUCAAAUAAUCUUGGUAGUGAUGCGCGUAUGUUGACAGUGUUCUCGGCCAGUUCCGAAGAUUGUAGUUUCGCUUUCGCGGAGUGUGUUAACUUCGUUUUGUUUUGGCGAUAGGUCUCUGGGUGGACUGUGACAAGUAUGGCCUCUUGAGUAUACCUGCAGCAGCGACGCGGCGAGAAUCGUCGCUGACGGACGUUUUUGCUGUUUCGGUGAAGACGCAUGCCGCCUUGCGCAGUAUCAAAAUGAGGACGGCAACAUUUCAGCAAGAUCAAGAACUGAGGUCAAGACGUUUGAAAAAUGACUCGCAACGUUCCAAAUUUUCGAGUGAUGGCACCGUCGUUGACCGGAGCCUCAACCUUCAAGGAAUUGUGACAAUGCUGAAAGAAGAUACGUGUAACAAGUCUGUAGGAGGCAUAAACUGUAGCAUCUGUGGGAAGCUGUACAAGAGCAAAGUGUGCUUUACCAAGCACAUAUGGGAACACUCUAUGUACUGGGACCUGUUUGACGACAUGAAGCACCAGGACCGUGUGUUAUCCAUCCAGGGAGCCCUCAUCCUCUAUAGCUUGCUGCAUCCUGGUGACCUAGCUGGUCUUUUGGUCACUGACCCACCACGACUGAGGCGGCGAGAACGAAUUGAGAAAGCUGGCAUUCGCACACAGCCUUAGUUAGACGACUCCUUGUGUCCUUCUUUUGUUGUGCUGCGUUAAUCUCACAGCUGGUCUCUGAGAGCUGAUGUUUAUUUGUUUCUGCUGAGCUGCUUGAUUCGGGCUUGCAUAUUUGUAGAUUCCUAUGUAAAAGGCACUUUGGUUUCACUCAGAAAUGUCUUCUAGACAUAGUUUAGAAUCAUGUUCAGCAGCUUCCUUUCAUCUGGCUAAUGCAUUGUUUUGCUGUUAAGGUAUGAGCCCUGGUGUCUUUCAGGGAGCUACAUAAGAGCUGCUGAGGCAUAAAAGUUGCUUGUUUUAGUUUUUUCCUACUGUCAGUUGCUGUGGAAGAAAAAAGAGGCUACAGCUUUUAAUACUUCAUCCAUACAACAUGUGUGGUGUUGUGGCAGUGUAACCUGCCUGAUAGAACUUUGUUUUUUGCACAUACCUGGACAAAACUGGGGUGAGUCACUAGACUUUCUUCUUCAUUUGAGCCUUUCCUUGUGGUGGCAGCAGCAGAAGCAAGUCUUACUAUGUAACUUUCCACUCCUACACAUUUUUUUUUCUUCCAGCGAUGCACUCAUUGUUUCAUCACUCUCUGACGUAAUAGUUCUGCGGAAACCCGCAAGGUGGAGAGAAGUAAUUAAUAAAAGGAAAAUGAGGCAUCCACCCAAACGUAGCGAAUCUCUACAAAGAAAACCCAUAUGGGUUCCUCAAAAGAAAAGCAUCGCAGUUUUGCCCUGCCACCUGCUAGCCACCUGGUUAGCUCAGAUGGUAGAGCGACUGCUCCGGAAAGGCGGUGGUCCCGGGUUCGAGUCCCGGACCAAGACAAAUUUUUCUUCAACUAUGAUGCUUUUUUUUUCGAGGAACCUGUAUGGGUUUCCUUUGUCACAAUUAGCUAUGUUUGGGUAGAUAUCUCAUUUUCCCUUUAUUAAUUGCUUCUCUCCACCUUGCGGGUUUCCGCAGAACUAUUACGUCAAACUCUUGCCUUUGCUUCGAGUUGUUCAUAAAUUUGACUUCGCCCUGCCACCUGCUAGCCACCUGGUUAGCUCAGAUGGUAGAGUGGCUGCCCGGGAAAGGCAGUGGUCCUGGGUUCGAGUCCCAGACCAGGACGAAUUUUUCUUCAACUAUGAUGCUUUUCUUUCGAGGAACCCGUACGAGUUUCUUUUGUAGCAAUUA